rnacentral:ncRNA from 2 species
AUGUUAUCAAGAAAGGUGGAGGGAUUAGACCCAUUGAAGCCUUAGCAACCCUUUACACGUAAAGAAGGUGCUACAUUCUACCCAUAUUAAAGUGUUUUACUUGUUUGGAUAGAUAACAA